rnacentral:rRNA from 1 species
GUUGAUCUACCCAUGGGCAGGUUGAAGGGAGGGUAAAACCUCUUGGAGGACCGAAGCCUUGAACGUUGAAAAGUUCUGGCAUGACCUGUGGGGAGGAGUUAAAGUCUAAUCAUAACGGGAGAUAUCUCGUUCUCUCCGAAAUAGUUUUUGGACUAGCCUUACGUAAUACACUGCGGGGGUAGAGCUACUGGAUGGGGCUGGGGGGUCACAAACCUACCCACCUCAACCAAACUCCGAAUACCGCAGUGCGUAUCGUGGGAGUAAGACUACGGGGGAUAAUCUCCGUGGUCAAAAGGGAAACAGCCCAGACCGCCGGUUAAGGCCCCUAAAUACACCUCAGUUGAAAAGGUAGUCAGAUUGCAGUGACAGCCAGGAUGUUGGCUUAGAAGCAGCCACCAUUUAAAAAGUGCGUAACAGCUUACUGGUCGAGGAAUUUGGCGCCGAUAAUGAUCGGGGAUAAGACGUAUGCCGAAGCCGCGGACGACACUAGUCGUGGUAGGAGAGCGUAGCUGUCAGCGUCGAAGCUUGCCCGGAAGGGCAGGUGGAGCGGCAGCUAGUGAAUAUGUCGGCUUGAGUAACGAUAAACGGAGUGAGAAUCUCCGUCGCCGAAAACCUAAGGUUUCCUGGGGAAGGUAAUUCCGCCCAGGGUUAGGCGGUACCUAAGGCGAGGCCGAAAGGCGUAGUCGAUGGACAGCAGGUUAAUAUUCCUGCCCUUUCAUGUGAGGUUGAUCCGGCGUGACGGAUCAUGAAGUUCGACGGCACAGUGAAGCGUGCAGGCCUUCGGGCCGAUGUCGGGUGGAUUGGUUCCAAGAAAAGCCGUCCGGGGACGAUCAUGAAAGCCGUACUAAAACUGACACAGGUAGGUGUGGCGAAAAGCCUCAGGCGCUCGAGAUAAUGGUCGUGAAGGAACUAGGCAAAUUGACCCCGUACGUUCGCAAUAAGGGGGCCCUCCUCGCAAGAGAGGGCGCAGAGAAGAGGCUCUGGGGACUGUUUAUCAAAAACACAGGACUGUGCUAACUCGCAAGAGGACGUAUACAGUCUGACGCCUGCCCGGUGCCGGAAGGUUAAGGAAGUCGGUUAGCUUCGGCGAAGCUGACGACCGAAGCCCCGGUAAACGGCGGCCGUAACUAUGACGGUCCUAAGGUAGCGAAAUUCCUUGUCGGGUAAGUUCCGACGCGCAUGAAUGGCGUAACCACUGGAGCACUGUCUCCACGACCAACUCGGUGAAAUAGUAGUGGCGGUGAAGAUGCCGCCUACCCGCAGCAAGACGGAAAGACCCCGUGAAGCUUUACUGUACGCUUACACUGGUCACGUGUUUAUUCCGCGUAGGAUAGG